rnacentral:tRNA from 1 species
UGUUCUGUGGCUUGGUUGGUUAAAGCGCCGGUCUAGCGAAUACGGAGUCGUGGGUUGGAAUUCCACCAGAACGC